AAGGGCACCACAAGAACGCGUGGAGCAUGUGGCUUAAUUUGACCCAACGCGGGAAAUCUUACCGGGUCCGGACACACUGAGGAUUGACAGGCAAUAUUAGCAGUGCAGCGUUCCCUCGUGGUUCGCUUGCAUUGUUAUGUUAAAUAUGCUAGUCCUUUCAUGAUUAUGUGAUAGGUGGUGCAUGGCCGUUCUUAGUUCGUGGAGUGAUCUGUCUGCUUAAUUGCGUUUCACUAAGGGCCUAUAAUUUAACGUGUGUUGCGGCACUUUGACCCCUCUCUGAGCGCGCGUCUUAGUUUGUUUAGCUCACACAAUUAGGUCCUGAAAGCAACGAACGUGACCG
rnacentral:rRNA from 1 species